rnacentral:rRNA from 1 species
CUGUACAGUUCAGAGUUUGAUCCUGGCUCAGGACGAACGCUGGCGGCGUGCCUAACACAUGCAAGUCGAACGAGGUCCAUCCAGUGGCAACACUGGGGAAGACCUAGUGGCGAACGGGUGAGUAACACGUGAGGAACUUGCCCCGGAGACCGGGAUAACUCUCCGAAAGGAGAGCUAAUACCGGAUGUCCUCACCGGAUCGCAUGGUCUGGUGAGGAAAUGGAUUCCGCUCCGGGAGAGCCUCGCGGCCUAUCAGCUAGUUGGUGGGGUAACGGCCCACCAAGGCAUCGACGGGUAGCUGGUCUGAGAGGACGAUCAGCCACACUGGGACUGAGACACGGCCCAG